rnacentral:rRNA from 1 species
AGAACUGCCGUUGAUACUGCUAGUCUUGAGUAUAGUUGAGGUAGCUGGAAUGAGUAGUGUAGCGGUGAAAUGCAUAGAUAUUACUCAGAACACCGAUUGCGAAGGCAGGUUACCAAGUUAUAACUGACGCUGAGGGACGAAAGCGUGGGGAGCGAACAGGAUUAGAUACCCUGGUAGUCCACGCCGUAAACGAUGCUAACUCGUUUUUGGGCUUUAGGGUUCAGAGACCAAGCGAAAGUGAUAAGUUAGCCACCUGGGGAGUACGACCGCAAGGUUGAAACUCAAAGGAAUUGACGGGGGCCCGCACAAGCGGUGGAUCAUGUGGUUUAAUUCGAUGAUACGCGAGGAACCUUACCAAGGCUUAAAUGGGAAUUGACAGCUGUAGAAAUACGGUUUUCUUCGGACAAUUUUCAAGGUGCUGCAUGGUUGUCGUCAGCUCGUGCCGUGAGGUGUUAGGUUAAGUCCUGCAACGAGCGCAACCCCUGUCACUAGUUGCCAUCAUUAAGUUGGGGACUCUAGUGAGACUGCCUACGCAAGUAGAGAGGAAGGUGGGGAUGACGUCAAAUCAUCACGGCCCUUACGCCUUGGGCCACACACGUGAUACAAUGGCCGGUACAGAGGGCAGCUACACUGCGAAG